GGCAUCCUUAGAGGAAGGCAAUGUGAAGACACACACACAGGAAAGCACCAAGAGAACAGAUGAAAGGGCCUGUGUGUUAGUGAGAAACAGAUGCUCUCAGGUAAAGUUAUUGGAAAAACAGUCCAUUUAAAAGAAGGCAGAAGCAUAACCAGAAAUGGCACUUUAAAACACGACUGAAUUUGACAUAUUGCACAGUUAACUAAAGAGUCAGCCAUAUGGAAGUUCAUUCUGAUGAUAUGGCAUCAGUGAAAUGGUGAAAUGUGACCAUUUUAACUUGUUAGGCUAUUUAUGUUUUAUAGAGGCAUCAUGUCAGAACUACCUGUAAUUUAAAAAAAAAAACAUAAAUAAAUACCUGGGCCUAUCUUUGAGAUUCUGGCUUAAAAAUGUAUGAAGCCUGGAUAUAUGUAAUUUCAAACAAUUCUGCAAGUGAUUCUGGUGUGAAGUCAAGGCUGGAAAUAAUGAAAAUAACAGAAGUGACUGUUGCUAAUAAAAUAAGAUAUCUCUUUUGCCUAUGCAGAUAGCAUAAGUUUUGAUAUAUAAAAAGUGUUCUGGUUUUGUAAUGCAAUUUCUGUAACUAUACCACGUUUAAUUUUACUUGCUCUUGUUCAGCUGCUGAUAGGAGCCAGGUUUUCAAGUUAAUUUUUAACCUAGGCUAGUCAACUCUUCCACAGGCCAUGUUGAUUUGUGUCAUUUGUGUUAAAUGGUUAACUCAAAUGUUAACACUGGAAAUGCCAGUAAAGAACUGUGACAAGCUACCAUUAAUUUGAAUAGCUUUAGAUAAGUAGGUUUUCCUAAUUUUUGAGACCAACUGAAUAUUAUAUACCACUCAUUAAAACAUAUUCCUAUUAUAAA